rnacentral:piRNA from 1 species
UCCUCUAUCUUCAGAAGGCAAAGAGCCA